AUGCGCACGGUCGCGCCCGCCGCCACCUUCCACUCCAGCAGACGCAGCGGCGUGGGGCCCGGGCAGCGCACCUCUGCCCCGGCCACCGCCGGAGUGCACUCGGUGGGAACGCCGGCCGCAGGCGGCACUUCCAUCGCGACCCUGCGAGCGGCACGGACGGACGGUCCCAACAGAGACCUGUGAUCCCGGGUGUCAGACUUCACAUUCCCACUACCAAAUGAGGCUAAGAGUCUCCCUGAGCUUCAGGUCACGCAUGCUCCAGAAUCUAUGCUGAUUUCCUACCAGAUGGGACACUGGGUCAGAGCUUCAGAACCUAGAUGCAGACCUCAGACCUGUUAGCAUGAUGGCUACAUGGCCAACCCAUGGCCUACCUCUCCUCAGGGGGCUGCACAAAGAAAGUACAGUGACG